rnacentral:rRNA from 1 species
GGGGAAUCUUCCGCAAUGGACGAAAGUCUGACGGAGCAACGCCGCGUGAGUGAUGACGGCCUUCGGGUUGUAAAGCUCUGUUAAUCGGGACGAAUGGUUCUUGUGCGAAUAGUGCGAGGAUUUGACGGUACCGGAAUAGAAAGCCACGGCUAACUACGUGCCAGCAGCCGCGGUAAUACGUAGGUGGCAAGCGUUGUCCGGAAUUAUUGGGCGUAAAGCGCGCGCAGGCGGAUCAGUUAGUCUGUCUUAAAAGUUCGGGGCUUAACCCCGUGAUGGGAUGGAAACUGCUGAUCUAGAGUAUCGGAGAGGAAAGUGGAAUUCCUAGUGUAGCGGUGAAAUGCGUAGAUAUUAGGAAGAACACCAGUGGCGAAGGCGACUUUCUGGACGAAAACUGACGCUGAGGCGCGAAAGCCAGGGGAGCGAACGGGAUUAGAUACCCCGGUAGUCCUGGCCGUAAACGAUGGGUACUAGGUGUAGGAGGUAUCGACCCCUUCUGUGCCGGAGUUAACGCAAUAAGUACCCCGCCUGGGGAGUACGACCGCAAGGUUG